GACGUAGGGGGCAAGCGUUGUCCGGAAUUAUUGGGCGUAAAGCGCUCGUAGGCGGAUCGGUAAGUCUGUGAAGAAAGACCCGGGCUCAACUCGGGGAACGGCAUAGAUACUGCUGAUCUUGAGACAGUCAGAGGAUGAUGGAAUUCCAGGUGUAGCGGUGAAAUGCGUAGAUAUCUGGAGGAACACUAGUGGCGAAGGCGAUCAUCUGGGGCUGCUCUGACGCUGAGGAGCGAAAGCUAGGGGAGCAAACGGG
rnacentral:rRNA from 1 species